ACUAAGCGUACACGGUGGAUGCCCUGGCAGUCAGAGGCGAUGAAGGACGUGCUAAUCUGCGAUAAGCGUCGGUAAGGUGAUAUGAACCGUUAUAACCGGCGAUUUCCGAAUGGGGAAACCCAGUGUGAUUCGUCACACUAUCAUUAACUGAAUCCAUAGGUUAAUGAGGCGAACCGGGGGAACUGAAACAUCUAAGUACCCCGAGGAAAAGAAAUCAACCGAGAUUCCCCCAGUAGCGGCGAGCGAACGGGGAGGAGCCCAGAGCCUGAAUCAGUGUGUGUGUUAGUGGAAGCGUCUGGAAAGGCGCGCGAUACAGGGUGACAGCCCCGUACACAAAAAUGCACAUACUGUGAGCUCGAUGAGUAGGGCGGGACACGUGGUAUCCUGUCUGAAUAUGGGGGGACCAUCCUCCAAGGCUAAAUACUCCUGACUGACCGAUAGUGAACCAGUACCGUGAGGGAAAGGCGAAAAGAACCCCGGCGAGGGGAGUGAAAAAGAACCUGAAACCGUGUACGUACAAGCAGUGGGAGCCUCUUUUAUGGGGUGACUGCGUACCUUUUGUAUAAUGGGUCAGCGACUUAUAUUCUGUAGCAAGGUUAACCGAAUAGGGGAGCCGAAGGGAAACCGAGUCUUAACUGGGCGUUAAGUUGCAGGGUAUAGACCCGAAACCCGGUGAUCUAGCCAUGGGCAGGUUGAAGGUUGGGUAACACUAACUGGAGGACCGAACCGACUAAUGUUGAAAAAUUAGCGGAUGACUUGUGGCUGGGGGUGAAAGGCCAAUCAAACCGGGAGAUAGCUGGUUCUCCCCGAAAGCUAUUUAGGUAGCGCCUCGUGAAUUCAUCUCCGGGGGUAGAGCACUGUUUCGGCAAGGGGGUCAUCCCGACUUACCAACCCGAUGCAAACUGCGAAUACCGGAGAAUGUUAUCACGGGAGACACACGGCGGGUGCUAACGUCCGUCGUGAAGAGGGAAACAACCCAGACCGCCAGCUAAGGUCCCAAAGUCAUGGUUAAGUGGGAAACGAUGUGGGAAGGCCCAGACAGCCAGGAUGUUGGCUUAGAAGCAGCCAUCAUUUAAAGAAAGCGUAAUAGCUCACUGGUCGAGUCGGCCUGCGCGGAAGAUGUAACGGGGCUAAACCAUGCACCGAAGCUGCGGCAGCGACACUGUGUGUUGUUGGGUAGGGGAGCGUUCUGUAAGCCUGUGAAGGUGUGCUGUGAGGCAUGCUGGAGGUAUCAGAAGUGCGAAUGCUGACAUAAGUAACGAUAAAGCGGGUGAAAAGCCCGCUCGCCGGAAGACCAAGGGUUCCUGUCCAACGUUAAUCGGGGCAGGGUGAGUCGACCCCUAAGGCGAGGCCGAAAGGCGUAGUCGAUGGGAAACAGGUUAAUAUUCCUGUACUUGGUGUUACUGCGAAGGGGGGACGGAGAAGGCUAUGUUGGCCGGGCGACGGUUGUCCCGGUUUAAGCGUGUAGGCUGGUUUUCCAGGCAAAUCCGGAAAAUCAAGGCUGAGGCGUGAUGACGAGGCACUACGGUGCUGAAGCAACAAAUGCCCUGCUUCCAGGAAAAGCCUCUAAGCAUCAGGUAACAUCAAAUCGUACCCCAAACCGACACAGGUGGUCAGGUAGAGAAUACCAAGGCGCUUGAGAGAACUCGGGUGAAGGAACUAGGCAAAAUGGUGCCGUAACUUCGGGAGAAGGCACGCUGAUAUGUAGGUGAAGUCCCUCGCGGAUGGAGCUGAAAUCAGUCGAAGAUACCAGCUGGCUGCAACUGUUUAUUAAAAACACAGCACUGUGCAAACACGAAAGUGGACGUAUACGGUGUGACGCCUGCCCGGUGCCGGAAGGUUAAUUGAUGGGGUCAGCGCAAGCGAAGCUCUUGAUCGAAGCCCCGGUAAACGGCGGCCGUAACUAUAACGGUCCUAAGGUAGCGAAAUUCCUUGUCGGGUAAGUUCCGACCUGCACGAAUGGCGUAAUGAUGGCCAGGCUGUCUCCACCCGAGACUCAGUGAAAUUGAACUCGCUGUGAAGAUGCAGUGUACCCGCGGCAAGACGGAAAGACCCCGUGAACCUUUACUAUAGCUUGACACUGAACAUUGAGCCUUGAUGUGUAGGAUAGGUGGGAGGCUUUGAAGUGUGGACGCCAGUCUGCAUGGAGCCGACCUUGAAAUACCACCCUUUAAUGUUUGAUGUUCUAACGUGGACCCGUGAUCCGGGUUGCGGACAGUGUCUGGUGGGUAGUUUGACUGGGGCGGUCUCCUCCUAAAGAGUAACGGAGGAGCACGAAGGUUGGCUAAUCCUGGUCGGACAUCAGGAGGUUAGUGCAAUGGCAUAAGCCAGCUUGACUGCGAGCGUGACGGCGCGAGCAGGUGCGAAAGCAGGUCAUAGUGAUCCGGUGGUUCUGAAUGGAAGGGCCAUCGCUCAACGGAUAAAAGGUACUCCGGGGAUAACAGGCUGAUACCGCCCAAGAGUUCAUAUCGACGGCGGUGUUUGGCACCUCGAUGUCGGCUCAUCACAUCCUGGGGCUGAAGUAGGUCCCAAGGGUAUGGCUGUUCGCCAUUUAAAGUGGUACGCGAGCUGGGUUUAGAACGUCGUGAGACAGUUCGGUCCCUAUCUGCCGGGGGCGCUGGAGAACUGAGGGGGGCUGCUCCUAGUACGAGAGGACCGGAGUGGACGCAUCACUGGUGUUCGGGUUGUCAUGCCAAUGGCACUGCCCGGUAGCUAAAUGCGGAAGAGAUAAGUGCUGAAAGCAUCUAAGCACGAAACUUGCCCCGAGAUGAGUUCUCCCUGACCCUUUAAGGGUCCUGAAGGAACGUUGAAGACGACGACGUUGAUAGGCCGGGUGUGUAAGCGCAGCGAUGCGUUGAGCUAACCGGUACUAAUGAACCGUGAGGCUUAACC
rnacentral:rRNA from 1 species